AUGUCACGAUGAGGGCACUUUCAUAAUAACUCCUUGAACGGCUCGUAUGCCUCAUAUAAAGAUUCUUCAUCAAGCUGCUGAAAUGAAGUGAUUUCAUUUUGGAUCUU
rfam:Gossypium raimondii chromosome 11, whole genome shotgun sequence.